AUUGAACGCUGGCGGCAGGCUUAACACAUGCAAGUCGAGCGGGGGAGGUUGCUUCGGUAACUGACCUAGCGGCGGACGGGUGAGUAAUGCUUAGGAAUCUGCCUAUUAGUGGGGGACAACAUUCCGAAAGGGAUGCUAAUACCGCAUACGCCCUACGGGGGAAAGCAGGGGAUCUUCGGACCUUGCGCUAAUAGAUGAGCCUAAGUCGGAUUAGCUAGUUGGUGGGGUAAAGGCCUACCAAGGCGACGAUCUGUAGCGGGUCUGAGAGGAUGAUCCGCCACACGGGGACUGGGACACGGCCCAGACUCCUACGGGAGGCAGCAGUGGGGAAUAUUGGACAAUGGGCGGAAGCCUGAUCCAGCCAGGCCGCGUGUGUGAAGAAGGCCUUUUGGUUGUAAAGCACUUUAAGCGAGGAGGAGGCUCUUAAGGUUAAUACCCUUGAUGAGUGGACGUUACUCGCAGAAUAAGCACCGGCUAACUCUGUGCCAGCCGCCGCCGUAACAC
rnacentral:rRNA from 1 species